rnacentral:tRNA from 1 species
GCCUGGGUGGCGAAAUUGGUAGACGCAAAGGACUUAAAAUCCUUCGGAGGGUUUCCUCCGUACCGGUUCGACUCCGGUCCCGGGCACCA